GCGGCAGGCUAUACAUGCAAGUCGAGCGGCAAGUCGAGGAGUAAUCUAAGACCUAGAGCGGCGCACGGGUGCGUAACGCGUAUGCAACCUACCUUAUACUGGGGGAUAGCCCGGAGAAAUCUGGAUUAAUACCCCAUGGCACAUAUUGAUGGCAUCUGAGAUAUGUUAAAGAUUUAUUGGUAUAAGAUGGGCGUGCGUGCUAUUAGCUAGUUGGUGAGGUAACGGCUCACCAAGGCUACGAUAGCUAGGGGGCGUGAGAGCGUGGCCCCCCACACGGGUACUGAGACACGGACCCGACUCCUACGGGAGGCAGCAGUAAGGAAUAUUGGACAAUGGUCGGAAGACUGAUCCAGCCAUCCCGCGUGCAGGAUGACUGCCCUAUGGGUUGUAAACUGCUUUUAUAUGGGAAGAAUAGCAUAGAUUCAUCUGUGUAUGACGGUACCAUAUGAAUAAGCACCGGCUAACUCCGUGCCAGCAGCCGCGGUAAUACGGAGGGUGCAAGCGUUAUCCGGAAUCACUGGGUUUAAAGGGUGCGUAGGUGGCCCGAUAAGUCGGAGGUGAAAGCCCGUCGCUUAACGAUGGAAUUGCCUUUGAUACUGUUGGGCUUGAAAUAGGUUGAGGUAGGCGGAAUGUGACAUGUAGCGGUGAAAUGCAUAGAUAUGUCAUAGAACACCAAUUGCGAAGGCAGCUUACUGGACCUUAUUUGACGCUGAGGCACGAAAGCGUGGGGAUCAAACAGGAUUAGAUACCCUGGUAGUCCACGCCCUAAACGAUGCUUACUCGAUAUCUGGGCUUCGGUCUGGGUGUCCAAGGGAAACCGAUAAGUAAGCCACCUGGGGGAGUACGCGCGCAAGCGUGAAACUCAAAUGA
rnacentral:rRNA from 1 species